UACGAGGGGGGCGAGCGUUGUCCGGAAUUAUUGGGCGUAAAGAGCUCGUAGGCGGUUUGUUGCGUCGGCCGUGAAAACCUGCAGCUUAACUGUGGGCCUGCGGUCGAUACGGGCAGACUUGAGUUCGGUAGGGGAGACUGGAAUUCCUGGUGUAGCGGUGAAAUGCGCAGAUAUCAGGAGGAACACCGGUGGCGAAGGCGGGUCUCUGGGCCGAUACUGACGCUGAGGAGCGAAAGCGUGGGGAGCGAACAGG
rnacentral:rRNA from 1 species